rnacentral:misc_RNA from 1 species
GAUGAAGAACGUAGCGAAAUGCGAUAAGUAAUGUGAAUUGCAGAAUUCAGUGAAUCAUCGAAUCUUUGAACGCACAUUGCGCCCUCUGGUAUUCCGGGGGGCAUGCCUGUUCGAGCGUCAUUAUAACCGCUCAAGCUCUCGCUUGGUAUUGGGGCUCGCGGUUCCGCGGCCCCUAAAAUCAGUGGCGGUGCCUGUCGGCUCUACGCGUAGUAAUACUCCUCGCGAUUGAGUCCGGUAGGUCUACUUGCCAGCAACCCCCAAUUUUUACAGGUUGACCUCGGAUCAGGUAGGGAUACCCGCUGAACUUAAGCAUAUCAAUAAGCGGAGGA